rnacentral:rRNA from 1 species
AUUGAACGCUGGCGGCAGGCUUAACACAUGCAAGUCGAGCGGGGUGAUGGUGCUUGCACUAUCACUUAGCGGCGGACGGGUGAGUAAUGCUUAGGAAUCUGCCUAUUAGUGGGGGACAACAUUUCGAAAGGAAUGCUAAUACCGCAUACGUCCUACGGGAGAAAGCAGGGGAUCUUCGGACCUUGCGCUAAUAGAUGAGCCUAAGUCGGAUUAGCUAGUUGGUGGGGUAAAGGCCUACCAAGGCGACGAUCUGUAGCGGGUCUGAGAGGAUGAUCCGCCACACUGGGACUGAGACACGGUCCAGACUCCUACGGGAGGCAGCAGUGGGGAAUAUUGGACAAUGGGCGCAAGCCUGAUCCAGCCAUGCCGCGUGUGUGAAGAAGGCCUUAUGGUUGUAAAGCACUUUAAGCGAGGAGGAGGCUACUUUAGUUAAUACCUAGAGAUAGUGGACGUUACUCGCAGAAUAAGCACCGGCUAACUCUGUGCCAGCAGCCGCGGUAAUACAGAGGGUGCAAGCGUUAAUCGGAUUUACUGGGCGUAAAGCGCGCGUAGGCGGCUAAUUAAGUCAAAUGUGAAAUCCCCGAGCUUAACUUGGGAAUUGCAUUCGAUACUGGUUAGCUAGAGUGUGGGAGAGGAUGGUAGAAUUCCAGGUGUAGCGGUGAAAUGCGUAGAGAUCUGGAGGAAUACCGAUGGCGAAGGCAGCCAUCUGGCCUAACACUGACGCUGAGGUGCGAAAGCAUGGGGAGCAAACAGGAUUAGAUACCCUGGUAGUCCAUGCCGUAAACGAUGUCUACUAGCCGUUGGGGCCUUUGAGGCUUUAGUGGCGCAGCUAACGCGAUAAGUAGACCGCCUGGGGAGUACGGUCGCAAGACUAAAACUCAAAUGAAUUGACGGGGGCCCGCACAAGCGGUGGAGCAUGUGGUUUAAUUCGAUGCAACGCGAAGAACCUUACCUGGCCUUGACAUAGUAAGAACUUUCCAGAGAUGGAUUGGUGCCUUCGGGAACUUACAUACAGGUGCUGCAUGGCUGUCGUCAGCUCGUGUCGUGAGAUGUUGGGUUAAGUCCCGCAACGAGCGCAACCCUUUUCCUUAUUUGCCAGCGAGUAAUGUCGGGAACUUUAAGGAUACUGCCAGUGACAAACUGGAGGAAGGCGGGGACGACGUCAAGUCAUCAUGGCCCUUACGGCCAGGGCUACACACGUGCUACAAUGGUCGGUACAAAGGGUUGCUACCUAGCGAUAGGAUGCUAAUCUCAAAAAGCCGAUCGUAGUCCGGAUUGGAGUCUGCAACUCGACUCCAUGAAGUCGGAAUCGCUAGUAAUCGCGGAUCAGAAUGCCGCGGUGAAUACGUUCCCGGGCCU